rnacentral:tRNA from 1 species
AUUAGGUUGGCAGAAUAGUGCAAUGUUUUUAGAAAACAGAAAAGAGGAAAUCUCACCUAAUA